rnacentral:rRNA from 1 species
AGAGUUUGAUCCUGGCUCAGAUUGAACGCUGGCGGCAUGCCUUACACAUGCAAGUCGAACGGUAACAGGUCUUCGGAUGCUGACGAGUGGCGAACGGGUGAGUAAUACAUCGGAACGUGCCCGAUCGUGGGGGAUAACGGAGCGAAAGCUUUGCUAAUACCGCAUGCGAUCUACGGAUGAAAGCGGGGGACCUUCGGGCCUCGCGCAUUUGGAGCGGCCGAUGGCAGAUUAGGUAGUUGGUGAGGUAAAGGCUCACCAAGCCAGUGAUCUGUAGCUGGUCUGAGAGGGCGACCAGCCACACUGGGACUGAGACACGGCCCAGACUCCUACGGGAGGCAGCAGUGGGGAAUUUUGGACAAUGGGCGAAAGCCUGAUCCAGCCAUUCCGCGUGCAGGAUGAAGGCCCUCGGGUUGUAAACUGCUUUUGUACGGAACGAAAAGGCUUUUUCUAAUACAGGAAGCUCAUGACGGUACCGUAAGAAUAAGCACCGGCUAACUACGUGCCAGCAGCCGCGGUAAUA